AGCAUAUAAGUUCAGCAAGUUUAACAUUUAUAAGAGUUGAAAUUACACAUUUUAGGAAUAAUCAACACAAUACAAGGAAUGAUACAGGUAAGUCCAGCAAGUUUGAGAUUUACAUAAAGUUGAAAUUUGGUAUCCUAGUUGCAUAACCCUGCCUCCACUAACUCUUCUCAUGACACCACAAGCACCCAAAGCCAACAAAUAAGAGAGAAUGCAAUCCAAUUGCUCACUCUACUCUCUUUCCGUGUUUUUCCAGGAGGUGAUAACCAAUAGGGGGAUGAAGCGAGUAGUGACAGGAAUGUGAGUAUUGAGUUAUAUCUCCACUGUCACCAUUGCAAUUCCACCCAUUGGGCCUAUUUUUUCUAUACUCAUCUACGGAACUAAUGAUCAUACAUGUGGUUCUAUAAUGCAAAAACAAAUCAAACAGUUAUACUUAAAAUAUCCAAAAACAAAUUAACCAGUAUAGAGCCAAAUUAAAUCAAGCAAUAUUGAGCCGACUAGUCAUUUCAACUCUCACAAAGGACAAGAAUGCUAGAUUAGGAUGAAAAACACAAAGCUACUAUUUUAAAUCACAACAAAAUUGAAAAAUCACACAUGGUAGCAAAUAGAAUAAAACAACUGUUACAAGGAUGACAACCUACUUGUAGAGAUAAUGAAGAAGAUUUUGUCAAUAGGAGAGAACAACGUUGGACUCGAUUGCAAGGGAGAGAGGAACGAUACUUAAGGCUGUACAAUGGCACACUUACAGAUCGCAAUGGAGACUGGAAUUGCAAUUGAGACUGAUGCACAGUGGGAUCAAUGGAAAAAGGAGAGGAUGAAUGGCAAUGGAACAAUGAAUGGCAAGGAGAAAGGAUAAAAUUGCUAACGAUGGAUUACUAAACGAGACAGUAAAGUUCAGUGAAA
rnacentral:lncRNA from 1 species